UAAUACGGAGGGGGCUAGCGUUGUUCGGAAUUACUGGGCGUAAAGCGCGCGUAGGCGGCAAUUCAAGUUGGGCGUGAAAGCCCGGGGCUCAACCCCGGAAUUGCGUUCAAAACUGGAUAGCUAGAGUCCGAGAGAGGUGAGUGGAAUUCCCCGUGUAGAGGUGAGAUUCGUAGAUAUUGGGAAGAACACCAGUGGCGAAGGCGGCUCACUGGCUCGGUACUGACGCUAAGGUGCGAAAGCGUGGGGAGCAAACAGGAUUAGAUACCCUGGUAGUCCACGCCGUAAACGAUGAGUGCUAGUUGUUGGGGGGCAUGCCCUUCAGUGACGCAGUUAACGCAAUAAGCACUCCGCCUGGGGAGUACGGUCGCAAGAUUA
rnacentral:rRNA from 1 species